rnacentral:rRNA from 1 species
AUACGGAGGGUCCAAGCGUUAUCCGGAAUCAUUGGGUUUAAAGGGUCCGUAGGCGGAUAAUUAAGUCAGAGGUGAAAUCCCACAGCUCAACUGUGGAACUGCCUUUGAUACUGGUAGUCUAGAGUUAUCUGGAAGUAGAUAGAAUGUGUAGUGUAGCGGUGAAAUGCAUAGAUAUUACACAGAAUACCGAUUGCGAAGGCAGUCUACUACGUAUAUACUGACGCUAAGGGACGAAAGCGUGGGGAGCGAACAGGAUUAGAAACCCUAGUAGUCC